rnacentral:rRNA from 1 species
GACGAACGCUGGCGGCGGGCUUAACACAUGCAAGUCGAACGGAAAGGCCCUGCGUUCGUGGGGUGCUCGAGUGGCGAACGGGUGAGUAACACGUGAGUAACCUGCCCUUGACUUUGGGAUAACUUCAGGAAACUGGGGUUACUACCGGAUAGGAGCCCCUGCUGCAUGGUGGGGGUUGGAAAGUUUCGGCGGUUGGGGAUGGACGCGCGGCUUAUCAGCUUGUUGGUGGGGUAGUGGCUUACCAAGGCUUUGACGGGUAGCCGGCCUGAGAGGGUGACCGGCCACAUUGGGACUGAGAUACGGCCCAGACUCGUACGGGAGGCAGCAGUGGGGAAUAUUGCACAAUGGGCGGAAGCCUGAGGCAGCAACGCCGCGUGCGGGAUGACGGCCUUCGGGUUGUAAACCGCUUUCGCCUGUGACGAAGCGUGAGUGACGGUAAUGGGUAAAGAAGCACCGGCUAACUACGUG